CACCGCCUCUACCCUUGCUGGCCUCAGGACCCCCGGACCAGGCCCUUCACAGGUCCUCCUGACUUCCCCAGGUUGCAGCCCAGCUUUGGACAGUGGAGAUGCCCACAGCCUCCCCUCAGUGGCUCCACCCUCACAUAUGGUCUGGUCUGCGUGCUCUCCUCGUCCCCUGGCCAGCGCUCUCCUGACAGGCCAGCCCAACACACCCUCCCAGCCUCGGUGGCACUGCUCUUCCUCCCAGCAGUCAAAUUACAGCAGCCCUGGAAGCCCCACCAAGGAUGAGGUGCCUGGUGUGCAGUGGAGAGCUCGUCCCAGUCCCGAAGCUGGAGGGCUCACAAGGCACGUAGGCGAAAUGAUUUUUAUUUAUUUAUUUGAGAGAGAGAGAAUGAGAGACAGAGAGCACGAGAGGGAAGAGGGCAGAGGGAGAAGCAGACCCCCCCGCCGAGCAGGGAGCCCGAUGCGGGACUCGAUCCCAGGACUCCAGGAUCAUGACCUGA